rnacentral:rRNA from 1 species
CUCCAGACUCCUACGGGAGGCAGCAGUGGGGAAUAUUGCACAAUGGGGGAAACCCUGAUGCAGCGACGCCGCGUGAGCGAUGAAGUAUUUCGGUAUGUAAAGCUCUAUCAGCAGGGAAGAAGAUGACGGUACCUGACUAAGAAGCCCCGGCUAACUACGUGCCAGCAGCCGCGGUAAUACGUAGGGGGCAAGCGUUAUCCGGAUUUACUGGGUGUAAAGGGAGCGUAGACGGCGAUGCAAGCCAGAUGUGAAAGCCCGGGGCUCAACCCCGGGACUGCAUUUGGAACUGUGUGGCUGGAGUGUCGGAGAGGCAGGCGGAAUUCCUAGUGUAGCGGUGAAAUGCGUAGAUAUUAGGAGGAACACCAGUGGCGAAGGCGGCCUGCUGGACGAUGACUGACGUUGAGGCUCGAAAGCGUGGGGAGCAAACAGGAUUAGAUACCCCAGUA